GACGAACGCUGGCGGCGUGCCUAAUACAUGCAAGUCGAGCGCAGGAAACUGACGGAACUCUUCGGAGGGAAGGCAGUGGAAUGAGCGGCGGACGGGUGAGUAACACGUAAGGAACCUGCCUCAAGGAUUGGGAUAACUCCGAGAAAUCGGAGCUAAUACCGGAUAGUUCAUCGGACCGCAUGGUCCGCCGAUGAAAGGCGCUUCGGCGUCACCUUGAGAUGGCCUUGCGGUGCAUUAGCUAGUUGGUGGGGUAACGGCCCACCAAGGCGACGAUGCAUAGCCGACCUGAGAGGGUGAUCGGCCACACUGGGACUGAGACACGGCCCAGACUCCUACGGGAGGCAGCAGUAGGGAAUCUUCCACAAUGGACGAAAGUCUGAUGGAGCAACGCCGCGUGAGUGAUGAAGGUUUUCGGAUCGUAAAACUCUGUUGUAGGGAAGAACACGUACGAGAGGGAAUGCUCGUACCUUGACGGUACCUUACGAGAAAGCCACGGCUAACUACGUGCCAGCCGCCGCGGUAACAC
rnacentral:rRNA from 1 species